GACGGGGGGGGGCAAGUGUUCUUCGGAGUGACUGGGCGUAAAGGGCACGUAGGCGGUGAAUCGGGUUGAAAGUGAAAGUCGCCAAAAAGUGGCGGAAUGCUCUCGAAACCAAUUCACUUGAGUGAGACAGAGGAGAGUGGAAUUUCGUGUGUAGGGGUGAAAUCCGUAAAUAUACGAAGGAACGCCAAAAGCGAAGGCAGCUCUCUGGGUCCCUACCGACGCUGGAGUGCGAAAGCAUGGGGAGCGAACAGG
rnacentral:rRNA from 1 species